rfam:Triticum aestivum genome assembly, contig: Triticum_aestivum_CS42_TGACv1_scaffold_061518_1DL
AGCAUACUCCCUCCGUUCCAUAUUAGUUGUCGCUGAAACGGAUGUAUGUCUCUACAUACAUCCGUUUCAGCGACAACUAAUAUGGAACGGAGGGAGUACUUG